rnacentral:lncRNA from 1 species
AAAAUUGGGUAUAUUACACUUUUGAUCCUCAAAUUGUGAGGUCUGCAACACUUUAGUUCUCGAACUUUAAUUCAUUACAAUUUCUAACUCGGACUAUAAGGUUCAUGACAUUUUAGUCCUCAAAUUAAAUUAGUUAUAAUUUCUAGCUCGAACUACGAGGUAUAUGAUGUUUUAGUUCUCGAAUUUUUCAAAUUAUUACAAUUAAGUCCCGCAAUCUUAUUUUUUUAAUAAAUAUUGAUGAAUUACUAACAUCAAAGUAACGUUGUACUUUAAUAAUUUAAUUAAUUGAUGAGUCAUCAAGUAGAAUAUUGUUAUAAUUCAGAAAUCAGAAAGUUCGAGAA